ACUUUAAAAAAAAAGACAAAGAAAAGGCAGAAAUCCUACAGAAAAUGCCCGUGGGAAGGUCCUGCUUGUUCGGGCACCGCACGCCGCCCGCGCAUGUGCGCACUCGACUAGCACAAGAUGUGUGCACUGUGCGCACAUCUCGUCCGCACGGGGUGCGAGGCCCGAUCUGUGCACGCAGAAGGGUAUGGCUCCGUGCGCCCUGUGUGAGCGUCGUCCACACAGUAGUCCUGUGCCCUGCGCGUUGUAGUCCUAUGCGCGUGUAGGUGAGGCCUGUAGUGCGCACCAACUGGGGCAACGUGCUUCUACCUCGGGCAAUGUGUGCCACCCCUUAGGCAUCAGGCACUGCCAAUUAGGCAGUGAGCCACUGCCGUCACUUGGGUAAUGUGCCGCUGUCGUUUAGGUGGCGUGCCUCUAUUUUUUGCAUCACCAUACCAUCACAUCGUUCAUCCGUCGAUCACAUCCGUCAGUCAUCAUAUUAUUUUUUUUCCAUUGACUUUCUAUCUCCUCACUAGAU
rnacentral:lncRNA from 1 species